rnacentral:rRNA from 1 species
ACUCCUACGGGAGGCAGCAGUGGGGAAUCUUGGACAAUGGGGGCAACCCUGAUCCAGCCAUGCCGCGUGAGUGAUGAAGGCCUUAGGGUCGUAAAGCUCUUUCGCCUGUGAAGAUAAUGACGGUAGCAGGUAAAGAAACCCCGGCUAACUCCGUGCCAGCAGCCGCGGUAAUACGGAGGGGUUAGCGUUGUUCGGAAUUACUGGGGCGUAAAGCGCACGUAGGCGGAUCGGAAAGUUGGGGGUGAAAUCCCGGGGCUCAACCCCGGAACUGCCUCCAAAACUAUCGGUCUAGAGUUCGAGAGAGGUGAGUGGAAUUCCGAGUGUAGAGGUGAAAUUCGUAGAUAUUCGGAGGAACACCAGUGGCGAAGGCGGCUCACUGGCUCGAUACUGACGCUCAGAUGCGAAAGCGUGGGGAGCAAACAGGAUUAGAUACCCUGGUAGCGACUGA